ACAGGGGCUGUUUGAGGAUCUUUAAUGCUAUUUUUAUUUUCUCAGCAUCAUCUCCAAUAUUUCUUGGGAUGCUUGUCAUAAAAUUAGCAGACUGGUAUUUAUUUCCUGGUGUUUUUAAAUCUUCAUGAUAUUUUAUCUCACCUAACUUUCUUUCUAAAUUUACUGAUUGUGGGUGUACUUUUUUUAACAAUACCACUGGAAUCACCUCUUAAUGACAAUUAACCUAUCCUGCAGUAGAAUACACUAUUUGUUUUAAAGAUCAUAACACAGCAAAAGUUGAAAUGACUUUGCAAUAAUUAUCAAAAGCACAGGAGUCUAGAAGCAGUGAUUCACACCCACGAGACAAUGGAUGGUGACAUUCCUGUCUACCUGCUUACCCCCUGAAGUGGGAGACAGUUCACGCUCCGCACCUCGCCCCCAAGAACAGCUUUGAAAUUAUGUAUUUUUUGUUGUUUUUCAACUAAGAAAAUGUUGCAUUAUUUCAAGUUUCAAAUCAGAUUAUACAAAAUCAUGUAUAAUAUUCUCUCACUGGUUAGGUAGGAGCUGCACUCCUUUCUCUAGUGUUGCCAAGAUUUCCAUCACUGGAAUGUGAAGCCCUUCACCUCUCAGAAUGCCAGAGAGAAGGAGUCCCUCCUGUGGUCCUGCAGUGUCACCCCAAAAGCUGCCCAGGUUGCCAGAUGUGUCUGAGAGAAGUGAGGCCACCUGACUCAUUUAGCCCAGUGCAGGGGAACUUCUCUGAAUGUGGCCCGGGUGCUUGAAAGAGCUCUACCCCACAAGUGGAAACCCCUCUUCUCCACUAGGUAUUCUGCUCUCAGAUCCACCCCUGCUGAGAAUACACUUCUGGUGGAGAGGCACUGCUCCUAAGUGCUGUCAGCAAUGAGGACUUCCUGUCUGGAGUAGGGUAGUCCCAGUGAAACUGACUAUCACUACAGGGCCCGGCUCGCCUCCGUUCGUGUACCCCAGCACACCAGGCACAUCGCUUACUGCUGGUUCUUUACAUGCCAGCCAGAUUCAGCUGUGGAUGCUGUAGGCAUUUAGUUUAGAGAUCUUCCUCCACCCUGGGCAGUAAAACAGUGUCUGAAGUUGACUUAAUGGCCUCCCAAGCCUGGUCUCCUACCCGCUGGGCAAAAGCUGCAGGAUGGGUCCUGCCUCGGUCAUGGGAAUGAAUAUGAAACCGAAAGAGCCAGUCCUUCAAGAUGGAUCCCUAGUGGCUAACUGGGCCUAAAUUUAACAUUGAGCCUAGUGGUCAUUUAUUGACUAGACAUCACAGAUGUACUCUGUGUCAACAGAAAACCCAUACCUCUGUUCAACUUUGGGACUUUCAGAACUCACCUGAACCAACCAAUCAGAACUUAGCUUCAUCAAGUAAUUAGAACUAAGCAAGUUUGAAUCCUUCAUUUGCAUAAAUGGACUUGAGUGGGAACCCGGACAGGAACUUUUGCUGUCAAAACUGAAACCUCCUUUUGCUCCCUGGAAGGAACCUUCAUUUUAGACCACAGGUCACAUCUCCC
rnacentral:lncRNA from 1 species